rnacentral:rRNA from 1 species
AGGAUAAACGCUGGCGGCGUGCCUAACACAUGCAAGUCGAACGUCUCUUCUUUCGGGAAGAGGAGUGGCGGACGGGUGAGGAACACGUGGGAACCUGCCCUUUAGUGAGGAAUACCGGCGAGAAAUCGCCGACAAGACCGCAUAGCCCUCUUUGAUGAGAGUCAAAGAAGGAAAGCUUCGCAAGAGGCGCUAGAGGAGGGGCCUGCGUCCGAUUAGCUAGUUGGUGGGGUAAGAGCCUACCAAGGCGUCGAUCGGUAGCUGGUCUGAGAGGACGAUCAGCCACACUGGGAUUGAGAACGGCCCAGACUCCUACGGGGGCAGCAGUGAGGAAUUUUCGGCAAUGGGGGAAACCCUGACCGAGCAACGCCGCGUGCAGGAAGACGGCCUUCGGGUUGUAAACUGCUUUCUUUGGGACGAGGAAGGACGGUACCAGAGGAAUCAGCCCGGCUCACUACGUGCCAGCAGCCGC